AUAUGUAAUCCCACACCAAACCCAGCUUUUAUCUAGCGUAACAUGAUUAAUAUGUUUGGUUAGGUUUUUAAAUGUUUAUAAUGUUUCACAAUUUAAAAAAAACGCCGUUCAGGGUGAAAUUUAGAGAAAAUAUAAACGGUUGAAUCUCCACUGAUGUUAAAUCAUGACUGUAGGACAUUUAGGUCCAAUCAUGUGAUGCUGAUUCCUUCAUCUCCAUCUACUGAGACCAUAUCUAGCAGUAGCGGUGGGUACACCGCAGCAUAACAUAUCUAACUAGUCCUGGUCUGAUCAUGUCAUGUCAGAGAUGGGGACUUGAGUCUGGGACUUUCCAGUGACUUGAGACUUGCAAUUUGAGACUCCGUGAACAAAGAUAUUUCUUUGUUAUCUUCUCUGUCUCCUGUUGUUUCUCCAUUGCUGUAACUUUUGGGUAUUAAAACUUAAUAAAAGCAGCAGCAAAUUGGAUCCACCACAUCCACCUUCAUCCACUUUAAAACACACCUGGAGAGUUUAGUCACUGUGAUAUAAAGCAAAUAGCACCGAUGUUAGCAACGAGCUUAGAGCGAUAGCAGCAUAUUAACUAUGUUACCUCAUCAGAUUGGCUCCACUGGGUGAGUAGACCAACAGUUUCCAUUCACUUAACUCUUUCAUUUAUUAAGUUACAGUCUUAAAUUCACUUAUCUCAUGAUUGAGGAAUAUAAGAAACAUUUAUUGGGUCUGCAAGUACUGGAUCUAAAUUUUUUAAAAUGCUGAAUUUUUUCAUUUAUUUUAAAAAGUUUAAAUGAAUUGUUUCUGUCCUCAUCUCGCAGAGUUAUUUAAAGCCCUUUAAAAAAAUAUGAAGAUUUUUCUGAUCAUUAGCUGUGGACUAGUUGAGUCGUUGUCCUGCAGAUGUUACAUGAUUACCUGCUGCUAUGCACCUGAGUCAGAUUAUUAGUGGGUCAUUAGAGACUUGUGCAGAACUAAACAAGCUGUCAUGUGGAUCAGGUGUGUUGCAGCAUUAAAACAUCUAAACUCUGCAGGACAGGUGGUGAUGCUGCACUGAAGUGCAUGUUGGUCCUCUCUACGUUCAGGAAAAAAAUGCAAUGAACUGGAGUGUUUGUAUUUUAAAUCUCGCAGUGGGUCCAGAUAGAUUAUGGUAUACAUUACAAUUCUUGGAUAAAUUAUGUUAAUAACAUCUUAACUAAUCUGAAUAAGUUUCCAUGUUCAUCUAUAAAACUUGUUCAUAGGAGAGGGACAGAGCUUUGGUCAGUUUAAGCUACAAGCAGGGGCCUCAUUUCUACAGCUGGCGUACAUACAGAAACCGGUGUAUGCCAGUUCUAGUCAGCUUCUGGGAUUUCUAAAAACCAGACUUGGUGGGAGAAUGUCCCUCCCCUUCAUGGCUACUGUGACCCUGGCGUAAGUCUGGAGAAAUGGGAAACGGCGACACCAGCGGUCCAGAAUAAAAGUUAAAUGGUAAAUGGUCUUUACUUAUAUAGCGCUUGACAUAUAUUUUUAGAUUAUACUUCACAUUCACCCAUUCACACACACAUUCACACACUGAUGGUGGAAGCUACCAUGCAGGGUCUGAUGAUGUCUUAUCAGGUGUCGUCCUGGUCUGACGAUGUCGUAUCAGGUGUCGUCCUGGUCUGAUGAUGUCGUAUCAAGUGUCGUCCUGGUCUGAUAAUGUCGUAUCAGGUGUCGUCCUGGUCUGAUGAUGUCGUAUCAGGUGUCGUCCUGGUCUGAUGGUGUCGUAUCAGGUGUCGUCCUGGUGAUGAUGUCGUAUCAGGUGUCGCCCUGGUCUGAUGAUGUCGUAUCAGGUGUCGCCCUGGUCUGAUGAUGACCUAUCAGGUGUCGCCCUGGUCUGAUGAUGUCGUAUCCGGUGUCGCCCUGGUCUGAUGAUGUAAGUUGUCGUCUCGGUCUGAUGAUGCCAGGUGUCGUCCUGGUCUGAUGAUGUCAGGUGUUGUCCUGGUCUGAUGAUGUCAGGUGUCGUGCUGGUCUGAUGAUGUCGUAUCAGGUGUCGCCCUGGUCUGAUGAUGUCGUAUCAGGUGUCGCCCUGGUCUGAUGAUGUUGUAUCAGGUAUCGUCCUGGUCUGAUGAUGUCGUAUCAGGUGUCGCCCUGGUCUGAUGAUGUCGUACCAGGUGUCGCCCUGGUCUGAUGUUGUAAGUUGUCGUCUUGGUCUGAUGAUGCCAGGUGUCGUCCUGGUCUGAUGAUGUCAGGUGUUGUCCUGGUCUGAUGAUGUCAGGUGUCGUGCUGGUCUGAUGAUGUCGUAUCAGGUGUCGUGCUGGUCUGAUGUCGUAUCAGGUGUCGUCCUGGUCUGGUGAUGCCAGGUGUCGCCCUGGUCUGAUGAUGUCGUAUCAGGUGUCGCCCUGGUCUGAUGAUGUCGUAUCAGGUGUCGUCCUGGUCUGAUAAUGUCAGGUGUCGCCCUGGUCUGAUGUUGUCGUAUCAGGUGUCGUGCUGGUCUGAUGAUGUCGUAUCAGGUGUCGCCCUGGUCUGAUGAUGUCGUAUCAGGUGUCGCCCUGGUCUGAUGAUGCCAGGUGUCGCCCUGGUCUGAUGAUGUCGUAUCAGGUGUCGCCCUGGUCUGAUGAUGUCGUAUCAGGUGUCGUCCUGGUCUGAUGAUGUCAGGUGUCGCCCUGGUCUGAUGUUGUCGUAUCAGGUGUCGUCCUGGUCCGGUGAUGCCAGGUGUUUCCCUGGUCUGAUGAUGUCGUAUCAGGUGUCGCCCUGGUCUGAUGAUGUCGUAUCAGGUGUCGCCCUGGUCUGAUGAUGUAAGUUGUCGUCUUGGUCUGAUGAUGCCAGGUGAUCUUCCUGGUCUGAUGUCAGGUGUCGUCUUGGUCUGAUGAUGCCAGGUGUCGCCCUGGUCUGAUGAUGUCAUGUGUCAGGUGUUGUCCUGAAACAUGUCUGACCAGCCCUGUAGUCUUAGACGCCGCGCUGAUACAGUGGAUCCAUUUUUCUGUUUACAUGAUGAAGAAACAAACAGAAACAUUCCUAGUUUAUAUAUUCUGUUUCUUUAGAAGCACAGAUGUUAUUGUUUAAAGUCACUGAAAUAAGAAAAUGAAAAUAAAAACCUCCAGUCUUAGUUUACACCUCUGACCUUCAACAUAGUCAAUGUUUUCUUGCCGCCCCUGAACUUCUUCUUUAUCC